CUCUAACAAAAACAUAUAUAUAUACAUAUUUCGUUACCCUAAAUCUGCUCUAAAUGGAAUAUAUGACAGUAAAGGUAUAAAAAUGAAAAUAUAGGAGAGUAUAUGUGUGUGUGUAUGUGUGUGUGUCUAAAACAUAUAUAAAAUACAGGGUUUGACUAUUUUUCGAUACUGCAUAGUGUACUUUGUGAACACAGAAAUAUACUAAUGAAGAUUAAACAUAUACAACUUUGACAGUUAUAUCGAAAUUCUGACGUCUAUUCUUGUAAAAAAAAAAAAAAACAUGUCAACUAAAGUUCUCAUCGUAUUAUAGUUUAAAACUUGAAUAACGAAAUAAAUGGAGCUACAGAGUAUUAGCCAACAAAAGGCACUAGUUAACACCACAUGGACAAUAGUUUCAUUCGUUUCUAUAAAUAAUGCGCUAUUUCGAUAGCAGCUGAUUUUAACAGUGCAGAGACUGCGAUACUUAUCGCCUAAAGCUCGCAGGAAAGGGACGAUCUAACAGAAUGAUCAUUCUAUAACUUUGGAGAGAGAAGAAGAAUAGAUUGAGAAUUAGAGAAAGGGGGAGAAAUCAUUUUUCUAGUUUAUACUUUUAAUGUCAUGUAUGCUUUAAAAAAUAAUGAAUGGAGUUUAGGUGUAGA